UACGAGGGGGGCAAGCGUUGUUCGGAAUUAUUGGGCGUAAAGAGCGUGUAGGCGGCCAGGUAGGUCUGCUGUGAAAACUCGAGGCUCAACCUCGAGACGUCGGCGGAAACCAUCUGGCUAGAGUCCGGAAGAGGAGAGUGGAAUUCCUGGUGUAGCGGUGAAAUGCGCAGAUAUCGGGAAGAACACCCGUGGCGAAGGCGGCUCUCUGGGACGGUACUGACGCUGAGACGCGAAAGCGUGGGGAGCGAACAGG
rnacentral:rRNA from 1 species